CACAUCUCCAACAGAUGCAGAUGCUAUGGAAUCUGUUUGUGCAGCUACUUUGGUAAUUUUAGACAUCUUGAAGUAAAAAACAGACAACGAAGGAUUAAAUUGAGGUAAGAGGAGAGAAAAAAAAUACAUUUUAAAAUGUAUAUAUAUAAAUGGUUGUGACCUGAAGGCUUAUUGAAAAGGAGACUGUGGUGUGAUAAUUUUAAUAGAUUGUAAAUGCAAUUGUGUCGAUGUGGAGCAAAUUGCAGUAUGCAUAGAGUAAUAAUGAAGUCAACGAGCUUCAAAAGUUGGACAAAAGAAUAUUUUGGAUACCGAGUCAGAGUACGAAAACGUCCCUGUAAAUUCCUAUGUACAUUUUUAGCAUUUUAUUUUUGAUUUUUGAUAGAAUGGUUUUCGAGAAAACUGUUACACUGUCAAAUGAAAUACUUUAGUGGUUGAUAAUAAAUUGAUGAUAAUUUUUCUAAUUA